rnacentral:rRNA from 1 species
UACGGAGGGUGCAAACGUUGCUCGGAAUUAUUGGGCGUAAAGCGCACGUAGGCGGCUUUGCAAGUCGGAUGUGAAAUCCCUCGGCUUAACCAAGGAAGUGCAUCCGAAACUGCAGAGCUUGAGUACAGAAGAGGAAAGCGGAAUUCCACGUGUAGCGGUGAAAUGCGUAGAGAUGUGGAGGAACACCAGUGGCGAAGGCGGCUUCUGGUCUGUAACUGACGCUGAGGCGCGAAAGCGUGGGGAGCAAACAGG